GCGUGAGUGAUGAAGGCCUUAGGGUUGUAAAGCUCUUUUACCCGAGAUGAUAAUGACAGUAUCGGGAGAAUAAGCUCCGGCUAACUCCGUGCCAGCAGCCGCGGUAAUACGGAGGGAGCUAGCGUUGUUCGGAAUUACUGGGCGUAAAGCGCACGUAGGCGGCUUUUUAAGUCAGGGGUGAAAUCCCGGGGCUCAACCCCGGAACUGCCCUUGAAACUGGGAAGCUAGAAUCUUGGAGAGGCGAGUGGAAUUCCGAGUGUAGAGGUGAAAUUCGU
rnacentral:rRNA from 1 species